GAGCGUUAUGUAAGGCGCCGGUGCUGUAGGCCGCCGUUCCAAAGUGCUUUGAUGAAUCCGGCCUUUGUUGGGAUCCCGCGUGGAGCAGGCAGGAUGCUCAGGCUGCAGAAAGAUUUCAUCACCAGGAGCAUUUUCCGGACCUUACCAAACCACUCACUUUUGGUAAGAAAUAAGAGGUAACCUUGCAUGGUGUGAGGUUUUGCUUCUGACGUGUGACAUGGAAUUGUCUUAGUGGAGGAAGCUGCCCUUCGGGUUGAGGGGGGAAGCUGUUCUUGCUCUUUACUUUCUGGGUAGCUGUGUAUGUAUAACCAGUAUUAAUCUUGUUUUGGGUUGGCUGUGGGGUGAUAGCACUGAACUCUAACCACUAGACCACAAGGGCCACCAGGCUUGACAUAGGUCCCCAGUCCUUGUCCCCUUGGAGAAAAAAUUGGCAAAGAGACUGGGAGUAGUGAGGCAAAUAGAGUGCUUAUUAAGAGAAAAGAUACCUGCAGAGAAAGCAUGGGCAGGCUUGAGAGGAGCAGAGAGAGAGAGGCAAACAGAGAGCAAGAGAGCGCCAUGUGCUUUGGAGGUAGUUUCAGUUGCUGUGUGGGGGCAGUCCUUUGGGCUUCCUCUGGCCAAUCACCUUGCUUCGUCUGGCUUGGAACCCACAUUUGGCCUGACUCAGGAACCUCCUCUGUGCAUGCGCAUCUUUUAAUUAUUUGUUUCGAGUGAUCAUCUCCAGGGUUCCUGGGAAGUUGACAGGAUAUACUCCCUUCUCUGACCCUGAGCAAACUUUCUGCACAUGUGUUGUCUGGGAGGUCUCCUUGACCUCAAGAAUGAGAAUGGUCUCUUCAUUUUUUAUCCAAGCAGGACACAGGUCCUCCUUGCCCCUGCCAUCAUCUUUAUCUUGAAAUAUCUGUCCACAGGGAACAGAUUCCAGUUGCUCAGCCUGGGACUCAUCUAUCUCUGGCCUCAAUCUGAGCACAGAGAGUCUUUUUUUUUAUUUUUUAUUUAUUAUUAUUAUUAUUAUUUUAUUACUCAAAUGAAUUUAUCACAUCUGUAGUUGUAUAAUGAUCAUAACAAUCUGAUUUCACAGGAUUUCCAUCCCACAGCCCAAGCACAUCUGCCCAGACUGUCUCCUCCGGAGACCAUAAGUUUUUCAAUGUCUGUGAGUCAGCAUCUGUUCUGCAAAGAAGUUCAAUCUGUCCUUUUUUUCAGAUUCCACAUGUCNCGUUCUUUUUAAUGGCUGAGUAAUAUUCCAUUGUGUAUAUAUAUACCACAUCUUCUUGAGCACAGAGAGUCAAGCUGGGGUCUGAUUCACAGUGGUCCCAUGAGCACUAGGCCCACUGCUGGGCACUUAUGUAUGUCAAUGAAAACUUAAUCGGUCGAUCUAAGAAAGAAAUGGAAAAUCUUAUUUAAGCCAAAUUUGGGGAUUAUAACUUGGGAAGAGCAUCCCAGAAAGCUCUGAGAGAACUGUUCUGUCAGUUAGAAGUUGAGGCACAGUUAUAUAAGGUUUUUCGGACAUUGACAGUUUACACAAUCCAGAUCUAAGUGCCAUGUAACCCCUUAUGAGAUCAAGAAGGAGUGUUAUCUUUAAGGGGUUGUCCUAUUGAUGCCAGGAAAAUGUUGCCCUUAAUGGUUGAGCAGGUGUUUUUGCUGAUGGGGAGGUUUGGUCCUAGAUGGAUGCGUGAUACAGGAACACAAUGCACAGUGGGGCAGAGGGGCCAAAAGGCAGAGGAAAUUUUUUGUUUAAAUUUUUCUUGUCUUGCCAUGAAAUAGGAAUUUUAUUUCACUGUUGCCAGAAAGCAACACCUCCCCUGGGCCUCCAAAGAUGGCAGCAACACACACGCCCUGUCUUCUCCUCAUUGUACAGUGCUUCUGUAACCACGGUCCUCAUGGACUCAGUCAUUUAUGUGUGUAACUCCAACCUACAUUCCUAUUUAUACUGACAGUAGAUAACUUUUUUCUUUUUUUAGGCUGCACCCGAGGCAUGUGGAAGUUCUCAGGCCAGGGAUCAAAUCUGAGCUACAGCUGUGACCUAUCUCACAGCUGUGGCAACACCAGGUCCUUAACCCACUGUGCUACAGUGGGAACUCCUAGAUUCCUAUAUAUGUCGAAAGUAGAUACUGUUUUUAUAGUAGAUAUACUGAAAGUGAGAUCUAUUACCAGUCUAUUAGAAACACACCAUUUUUAUUUAAUUAUUUAUUUAUUUAUUUUUGUCUUUUUUGUCUUUUUAGGGCCACACCCGUGGCAUAUGGAGGUUCCCAGGCUAGGGGUCUAAUUGGAGCUACAGCUGCCAGCCUAUACCACAGCAAUGCAGGAUCAGAGCCAUGUCUGCGACCUAUACCACAGCUCAUGGCACUGCCAGAUCCUUAACCACUGAGUGAGGCCAGGGACUGAACCCACAACCUCAUGGUUCCUAGUUGGAUUUGUUUCCACUGCACCACAACAGGAACUCCAAAGCCCACCAUUUUUAAAUUUCCACCAUUUUUAAAUCCCAGGGUGCAGAAUGGAAGACUCUUAACUCUGGUUAAAAAGAGCCCUCUUGAGCUUACCAGGAAUGAGGGGCGGCCCCAGGUUGCCUGGCUCCCUGUGGGUGAAGUUGUACCAUGGCCCCCAUCCCACUGAUCUUCAGUGGGCACUUGGCUUGCUCUUGCCCCGAAGAACCUGUGGGAACAGAGUUGCACAGGUUUGUAGGCCAGGUGCCAGCUGAGUGCCUGGGACUGAGAGAUUUGUAGAAGAUGGAUUCUGGGCUAGCACUUUUUUUCUGGGGCCACUGACACCCUCAGAGCUUGGGAAUGGGGAAGCUGGGAUACGGAUGGGGGUAUGUUUGAAGAAGAGAAUGUCAGUGGAGGUAAGGUGGCUAAGCCAGGCACGGUGGGCAUGAUGCCCAGAGCAACACCCAGUUUCUGAUAGAUUCUGUAGGUUCUUAGGAAUUCAUGGUGCUGAAUGAAGAAAAAAACCCCACAACCUAAAAAUUGAGGGUUGUUUUAUUCGGUGGACAAAACUGAGGGCCUUAGAUCCAUUCCCUUUCAGAUUCUUUUCCUCUUCAGGUUACUACAGACCUGGGUAAAUGUCCCUGUGCUGGGAAACCCUGUGCAGCAGGUCCUUGUUACCCGUCUAUUUUAUAUAUACACUAUGUGUAUGUGUCAAUCUCAACCCCAUAAAUUAUCCCUUCCCCCCCAUGUUUCCCCUUUGGUAACCAUCAUAAGUUUGGUUUCGAAAAAUUUGGGUCUGUUUCUGUUUUGUAAAUUCUAUUGUGUCAUUUCUAUUAGAUUCCAUAUAUUAGCGAUCUCACAUGAUAGUUGUCUUUCUCUGACUUACUUCACUUAGCACUUUUCUGUGUAUGGGAAGAUGUAAGAGUCUGGGCUCACUGACCUCAUUCCUUUGAUAUGCACCUCGGCUGUCUAGGGCCAGUUAACUGUGCUUUCCCAUCCCGAGUCUACUCGGGGUGCACCAUUGAGGGGUGGCUGCGGUGGCUGAGGGCUUGGCUGUGGACAGCCUGUUUGUGUCUAUCCUGAGUUCCCUCAGGGCUCACCUUUGGGGCUGCGAUUGUGGUUGAGGGCUCAGUGGCUGCAGCAUUCUAUGUUCACUGAUAUGCAGGCAACAUUCUCCAUCCACAGUGGGAAGGAGCAGUUGGGUGCGGCAGUGCUGGGCAGCCCUCCAGUGUGUCAUAUUUAGGGUGGCUUUGGGACUCCCAAAGGAGAGGGAAACUGCAUUUCUCAGUGGGGAAGCUCUGUGCCAAUUCUGAGGAUGAAGAUGCCCACCAGUGGAGUCAGAAUACUAUAGUGUCUAGAUAUUGGUUCAAAACCAUCAUUUUGCCUCUGGGGCAGCCGAAGAUUACAGGUCUUGCUAUUUGGAGCUGCUGAGAAAUGACUGUUUUGUAAAAAGUAAGGCCGCCUCACUCAUUUCAGUUGCUAAUCCAGCCUCUCCCCUGUAUCUCUGUGCUGAACCUGGGGCUUGGGCAGGAAUUCCCUCCUGUCCUAGAUGGAUUCCUGGAUUCCAUGGUGGAUUUGAAACCACACAUCUCAGAUGGGGACUCAACCCACAAUCUCUGGCUUAGGAGAGGACACCAACCCACAGACUCCCAGCUGAAGCCACACCCAUUCCUUGUCUCAGGACUUAAUGAAGUGCAGGUCCUUUAUGUCAGAAAAAAAAAAAAAUUAAAACAUGUCAGUUAUAGCAGAAUGAAUCUCUGUGAGGAGAUCUGCAGAGAGAAGAGACCUAGGUUUUUUUAUUUUCCUACUGCAAGUGGGCCAGUCUGUAAAUUUAAAAUACUAAUACCCAGAGUGUGCCUGUUGUCUUUCACAGGAUAACUUUAUGAAAAUGCUUCCACUGAGAGUAAAAGUCUGGGGAUGUGUUCUAUCUUUUUUUCUCCCAGGAGAAUUAAAUUCUAGGCCUCACUAUUCCUAUGAUAGCUGUCCUGCAGGCUCUUGAUCUAUAAAACGUGUGAGUCAUAAUUAUAUAAAUCAGUGAUUAUCCUGAGGGAAUGUUGGAAAGAUUAAUAAGCUGCGUUUAAAUCAUGCGCAAGUCUUAGAAAAUAAGUGAAGUUAGGAGAUGUUGCAUUUGUGGAAAUGGCUAGUCUGAUAGGGUCACAGCAUGCGCUUGCCCAAGAACAAGCAUAAAAACACUGUAGUGACUUCCUGUUGUAGCUCACCUGGUUAUGAGUCCGACUAGCGUCCAAGAGGAUGUAGUUCAAUUCCUGGCUGUGCUUAGUAGGUUAAGAAUCUGGCAUUGCUGUGAGCUGUGAUGUCAGUAGCAGAUGCAACUUGGAUCCUGCGUUGCUGUGGCUGUGGUGUAG
rnacentral:lncRNA from 1 species